UGGUAAAGCAUGUAAGGGAAAAAUGCAUUUGAUUUAAACAGAUGUUUAACAUCAGAGUUUACUAAUACUACUAUUACUACACUACCUGCUGAAUCAGCAUGACUUCUCACAUUGUGGUGGAACAAGAACAGAUUCAGAAGAGGACCUUCACCAACUGGGUCAAUGCCCAGCUGGCAAAGAGGAGGCCACCGUGCAUGGUUGUAGAUCUGUUCAAUGAUUUCCGUGAUGGCUCCAAACUGCUGGACCUGCUGGAGGUGAUGAGUGGUUUGCACAUCAGUCGGGAGAGAGGCAGGGGAAUGUUUCAGCACAGGAGCAAUAUCGAG